CAGGCAGCACUAUUAGUUCUCUCAGUCUCAGAGCAGCGUUUCUCAUUUUGAUUGAAACUGUCAGAAAACGUCAGCCUCGAGCAGCCCGGAUAUUAGUUUACAGAGGCUGUUAGAAUUAUAUGUUUAAUGUUAAAAUGUUGGUGACACAAUAAUUUCAUCCUAAUCGCACUGACGUAUUCAUAGGGUUCAUUUUUGAGAUAAAAUGUCAUCAUGAUAUGCAAAUAUUUCAACCAACCCAAAGCUCAGAGAGCAGAAGGUCACAGGUGAAAUUGGAUGAUGACUUGUUGGUUCAUGACUGUAUUUGAAGCACAUGUGUGACUGCAUGUAUGUGGAAUGUCUCACUGUUAUUGAUCAGGUGACAGAGGCAGCUCUGCCAUGUUGUAGCUCAGACAGAGGUGAAGAGGCGAGCUCACAGGUGGCAAUAUGUCCCAGUGCAGUCAGAGGGGAAGAGCCAGGCCCAAAGAUUAUGCAAGAUGUAAUUAUUCAGUCAGCAAGACACUUGCUGCAGUUACUGACAUCAUCCAACUGAACUGCUGCUGUGAUGAAUCAGAAUACAAGAGAACAGAGUCAAGGUACCAGCUUGGUCAACCCUAAAAGACCAUCUGUUCAUCAAGAAAUGACCAGGUGAAAAAGUCAUAAACUAAACACUCUGCAUGAAUUUAGGAUGCAACUUUAUAUCUUACCUGCUCUACACUCAGGGCUUGAAUUACAACAACAGUCAAUCACAUAAAGAAAAAAAAUACUUUUGGUAGUUCUGUGUCUCUCUCUCUCCUCCAAACCCAGAUGGCUGCUGGUACUGAACCGGGUUCUGCUGGAGGUUUCUUCUUGUUAAAGGGGAGUUUUUCCUCUGCACUGUCACUUCAUGCUGC
ensembl:lncRNA